rnacentral:misc_RNA from 1 species
CGUUCGUCUCUGCAGCUCUCAGAGCCUGAACUGGCCGUUUUUUUCUUGUACUUAUCAAGAUUCUUCAGUUGCGGAGGUGUACACAUGCUCGGUAGCUCUUGUCUAUACGUCGCCACCCGACAUUGUCACCCGUGGAAUCGGGGUUGAGGGGACGUCAACAAGUCAGAGGCCAGCUGGUCACAAAAGGGCUGACUGUGACGCAGAAACUUGAAGUGCGUUGGCUGACGAUAUCUUCCUUUUGUUCGUUAAACGGAGCAUUCAGCCCGCAAGAGGAAACGAAGCGGGAGGCGAAAAGGUGCGCCACGAGCACAACUACCUUCAAGCACGCAUGGGGUUGGUGAUGCGUGAGCCGAGCUGGCGUUUGAUUCGAAAAUACUCACGCCCACUCUCCCACUCACCCACACCCCACCUCCCAUGCAGCCCGCUCCCCAAGUGCAUGCCCUUUCCUUGUGCGGCGACGCGUGCGUCUUUGAGCGCGUCUCUUAUUGCGGUGGCCUCUCUCUGUCAUGUCACCGCGUCUACCGCGGUGUUGUGGUGCCUUGUCUGUAUUCGCCUCAGCGCGUGCCGCGCAUUUUCCACCUCUGUCGUAAACGUGCCCUUUCGUAUCAUUCUCUCUUCGUUGUUGGCGCGUCUCCGUGCUGGCUUCGCGGGCCCACCGUUUUUUUUUUUUUUCUUUUUCGGAGGGGGAUCGGUUGUUUUGUUCAGGGCUCCUUGCGCCUUCCCUCGGACCAUCCCAGACACCAACCCGACGUAAAGAGUUAAAGGGUGACAGACACACACACACACACGCGCGCGCGCGCAGCUAUACGUGUAGGGCCGACAAAGAGGUGGUCUGUGUCGUCUCUCCGUGGCCGCACGGUAUGCGCGGGCGUUUGGGAGCGGGAAAGAAAGCCGAAGCAGCAGCAAUGCUGUUCCACCUUAUCUCGAAAUUUCGUCCCUCUGCAGAGAAGUGCGUGCACGCGAAGCUGUCGCUCGCUCCCUCACCCUCGCUGUGAUUACCUGGUGAGACGAGUAGGCUGGGCUUCCUACAAAGUAAUGAUGGAAAGCACUCAAGAACUUCUCACUGCUGAUAUCUCGCUCGGUGCCUGGAGUGGUUUUCUCUAGAAUCCCAUUGCUCACCACAGCAAGCCGAAGACAACGGAUAAGAGUCCACGGGUCAUCGAGGUUGCAGGGCCGGCAUGUUUUCCGCAGCGGACUUCUAUUCUUUUUGGAAUGCUGCAUUGCACUACUUGCUCCCAUUCUUUUAUGUUUGUUCUAUGGAAGACUGCACGCGUUGCCUUUCGUUCCGACUCGAGGGCCCCCCCCACACGCACACGCACACACACUGCGGUGUAUGCGUCAUGUGUGCAUGUGCAGCCUCGAUUUGGUCAACCGUCACUCCUGCUCUCUUUUUUUUUGUUAUUCCUCGCUUCGAGCGACGAUAUCCAUGUAGAGGUGCUUUCUUUUCUUGUUGUAGCUGUUGUUGGCGAUGCACAUCGUCUCUUGCGCGUAGCUCGGUCCGCUGCACACGUAAUCCGUCUUCGCCAUUGGCAUUCGAUGCUCAUUCUGUCUUGGAUUUGGGAUAUCUCCUUCGCUUCUUUUUUUUUGUUCAUCUGUUGAUGUUGGCUUCGAAGCUCUGCCGGAGGCCAUGCCUCGCGUUUACGUGUCGUGCGUCCGCGUAUUCGCGCCCGCUCGCGUCUGCCCGCUUCGUGUAACUUCUGAUCCUCGCGCGGUGCGUGUUUUGCGCAGUACGGCCAUGUCGUACUCUUUUAUUGGCUUCCUCUCUUUGGUCUAUUGGCGUGCGCCUGCUUUUUUGUUUUUGUUUGAUGGCGGAGACAGCACGGUCAGCGCUGUAGCGAGGAGUGUGGUGCAUGCUCGCUCUGUCGGCCGUUUGGCCUAUGCCGCCCGCCCCCCUUUCCGUGUUGAGCUCUCUCGCCGCCAUGAGCGCCACCCACCCGAGCCCUUCAAAGUCGAGCCUGAUCAGUCGCGUCUCUCGUAUCCUUCCUGCGUCGUUUACGCGUUGCGAGGCCAGCGGUCGCUCUGCCGUGCCGCUCCGUUUCCUUAUUCGCCCACCAACGUCUGUUUUCGCGUUUCUGCUGUUGAUGUUGCGGGAGGGGGCAGCUCAGCGCACAGAACAGGUCAGAGCAGGAACAGUCCGUUCGAAACGUGUCGCUUUCGUCCUCACGUAGCUCUCGCCCGCUCACCACGCGACUCUCGCGCGGGAGAUGUUGGCGUGCGUGCGCGAGUGCUGUUUCAUCACCCUUUCCUCCUCGGGAUCAAAUCACCCGCUCCCCGAACAAAAAAAAAAACGAAGGAAUGUAAAAGCGAAAAGAGCCUAUCGCCGCGCGACGCAGCAGAAGAUACUUCGCGUCACUUUCAUAUUCGCCUUCGCUUUCUGCGCCUCUGCUUAGACGUUUGUCUUGUGCUUAGGGGUGCAUGAAGGUCUCCGGUCCACCAUUCCUGAUCACGGGUGCCUCCUUCUACGCGCCUCCGCUUUCCGCAAGGUGGGGACAGCUGCUCCACACCUGCGAAUCCCAACGCCUCUCUCUCAAUGAAACCAAG